rnacentral:rRNA from 1 species
UACGGGGGGAGCAAGCGUUGUUCGGAUUUACUGGGCGUAAAGGGCGCGUAGGCGGUCGUGACAAGUCACUUGUGAAAUCUCCGGGCUUAACUCGGAACGGUCAAGUGAUACUGUCGGACUAGAGUACAGAAGGGGCAACUGGAAUUCUCGGUGUAGCGGUGAAAUGCGUAGAUAUUGGGAGGAACACCAGUGGCGAAGGCGGCCCGCUGGACCGGAACUGACGCUGAGGCGCGAAAGCCAGGGGAGCGAACGGG